UACGUAGGGUGCGAGCGUUGUCGGGAAUUAUUGGGCGUAAAGGGCUCGUAGGCGGUCUGUCGCGUCGGGAGUGAAAACUCAGGGCUUAACCCUGAGCCUGCUUCCGAUACGGGCAGACUAGAGGUAUGCAGGGGAGAACGGAAUUCCUGGUGUAGCGGUGAAAUGCGCAGAUAUCAGGAGGAACACCGGUGGCGAAGGCGGGUCUCUGGGCAACAACUGACGCUGAGGAGCGAAAGCGUGGGGAGCGAACAGG
rnacentral:rRNA from 1 species